UACGAAGGGGGCUAGCGUUGCUCGGAAUCACUGGGCGUAAAGCGCACGUAGGCGGAUUGCUAAGUCAGGGGUGAAAUCCUGGAGCUCAACUCCAGAACUGCCUUUGAUACUGGCGAUCUUGAGUCCGGGAGAGGUGAGUGGAACUGCGAGUGUAGAGGUGAAAUUCGUAGAUAUUCGCAAGAACACCAGUGGCGAAGGCGGCUCACUGGCCCGGUACGUGACGCUGAGGUGCGAAAGCGUGGGGAGCAAACAGGAUUAGAUACCCCUG
rnacentral:rRNA from 1 species